GAGAGAGAGAGUAUAUUAUACGUCUCCUUUUCAUUCCACAGUUUUCAAGAGAGGACCUUCUUAUUUCAACUUCCAAUCAAUGACACAUAUUGACAAAUUUAUUAAGUAUUCAUAACAAAUAGUGUAAGGAGCGAGAUUAACAUUUCCUUCGCAUACAUUUGCACCUCUGUCAAAAUACCGACGCAGUAUCAUAUAUCUCUUUGAUAAAAAGUACAAUGAACACGGCGUAUAAAGCUUAAAUGGAUAUUGAUAUUCCUUAUCUCAUGACGACAAACCACCUGGAAGAAUAAACACCAAACCAAAAGUUGAACAAACGGGCCAAACCAUCAUAUUGAUGAGCAGGAAUAAAAAUCAACAAGAAGGAAAAUAUAGCAUGUUAGAUGGACCGAUGCCAUUGAGACUAAUGUCUUGCAAUAUUCCCGGACACCUUGAUACCCAGGCCAUGACAUACAGUUCCUGUAAGUGCUGAUAUACCGUCAAAGCAGUGACUUGUGUAACACCGAAUGGUGCUAUCACUUAUUUUUCAACUUUGAAUACAGGAUCAACUUGUGCUUCACAGCAAAGUUCCUGCAAAACCCACGGCUGGAAAACGGUUUAGGUGUUAACCAUCUGUGAUCAAUUAGCACAAGGUGUGUUCUUGAACAAUGAACAUUCCAGCGUUUUUAUCCUUAAGAGGACAGUUGGCUUAUGAAAAAGUUGAACUGUGUUACAUAAUAGCCAGGGGAGUAUUUACGUCAACGGGGCUAAAGAAAGGAUAAAAUCCACAUACCAGCAGUCUACGAGCCAAUAUCAACCAAGAUAAAUAUGUGCAUGGGAUGCAUUAAACAGUAUAUUAAAUAUUAAUAACUCUUUAUUCAACCGUAAUCUUUUAUUAACUUUUUCUGGAGUGACUGUUAAGUACAAUGUUCUACAUGUUCAUAUCUUCGGGAAUUUAUGAAUAAAAUAAAACUUGUGUUUCAAAUAGUUUAGUAUGAAUAAAAAAUGCACUACUG